AUGGGUAGCUUGCUCCCUGAUGUUAGCGGCGGACGGGUGAGUAACACGUGGGUAACCUGCCUGUAAGACUGGGAUAACUCCGGGAAACCGGGGCUAAUACCGGAUGGUUGUUUGAACCGCAUGGUUCAGACAUAAAAGGUGGCUUCGGCUACCACUUACAGAUGGACCCGCGGCGCAUUAGCUAGUUGGUGAGGUAACGGCUCACCAAGGCAACGAUGCGUAGCCGACCUGAGAGGGUGAUCGGCCACACUGGGACUGAGACACGGCCCAGACUCCUACGGGAGGCAGCAGUAGGGAAUCUUCCGCAAUGGACGAAAGUCUGACGGAGCAACGCCGCGUGAGUGAUGAAGGUUUUCGGAUCGUAAAGCUCUGUUGUUAGGGAAGAACAAGUGCCGUUCAAAUAGGGCGGCACCUUGACGGUACCUAACCAGAAAGCCACGGCUAACUACGUGCCAGCAGCCGCGGUAAUACGUAGGUGGCAAGCGUUGUCCGGAAUUAUUGGGCGUAAAGGGCUCGCAGGCGGUUUCUUAAGUCUGAUGUGAAAGCCCCCGGCUCAACCGGGGAGGGUCAUUGGAAACUGGGGAACUUGAGUGCAGAAGAGGAGAGUGGAAUUCCACGUGUAGCGGUGAAAUGCGUAGAGAUGUGGAGGAACACCAGUGGCGAAGGCGACUCUCUGGUCUGUAACUGACGCUGAGGAGCGAAAGCGUGGGGAGCGAACAGGAUUAGAUACCCUGGUAGUCCACGCCGUAAACGAUGAGUGCUAAGUGUUAGGGGGUUUCCGCCCCUUAGUGCUGCAGCUAACGCAUUAAGCACUCCGCCUGGGGAGUACGGUCGCAAGACUGAAACUCAAAGGAAUUGACGGGGGCCCGCACAAGC
rnacentral:rRNA from 1 species